AACGCGAAGAACCUUACCUGGGCUUGAACCGCACAGGACCAGCUUCAGAAAUGAGGCCUUCCCGCAAGGGACCUGUGUAGAGGUGCUGCAUGGCUGUCGUCAGCUCGUGCCGUGAGGUGUUGGGUUAAGUCCCGCAACGAGCGCAACCCUCGCCUUUAGUUGCCAUCAUUCAGUUGGGCACUCUAGAGGGACCGCCGGCGACAAGCCGGAGGAAGGUGGGGAUGACGUCAAGUCCUCAUGGCCCUUACACCCUGGGCUACACACGUGCUACAAUGGCGGUGACAGUGGGCAGCUACUUCGCGAGAAGCGGCUAAUCCCAAAAAACCGCCCCAGUUCAGAUUGUACUCUGCAACUCGAGUACAUGAAGGUGGAAUCGCUAGUAAUCGCAGAACAGCAGGCUGCGGUGAAUACGUUCCCGGGCCUUGUACACACCGCGCAUA
rnacentral:rRNA from 1 species